GAUGAACGCUAGCUACAGGCUUAACACAUGCAAGUCGAGGGGAAACGACAUCGAAAGCUUGCUUUUGAUGGGCGUCGACCGGCGCACGGGUGAGUAACGCGUAUCCAACCUGCCCAUCACUUGGGAAUAACCUUGCGAAAGUAAGACUAAUACCCAAUGACAUCCCACGAAGACAUCUGAAUGGGAUUAAAGAUUUAUCGGUGAUGGAUGGGGAUGCGUCUGAUUAGCUUGUUGGCGGGGUAACGGCCCACCAAGGCAACGAUCAGUAGGGGUUCUGAGAGGAAGGUCCCCCACAUUGGAACUGAGACACGGUCCAAACUCCUACGGGAGGCAGCAGUGAGGAAUAUUGGUCAAUGGGCGAGAGCCUGAACCAGCCAAGUAGCGUGCAGGAGGACGGCCCUAUGGGUUGUAAACUGCUUUUAUAAGGGAAUAAAGUGGGUCUCGUGAGACUUUUUGCAUGUACCUAAUGAAUAAGGACCGGCUAAUUCCGUG
rnacentral:rRNA from 1 species